CUGUAGUAGUCUUGAAAACCAAGUCUGGGGCUCCCAGUAGCUAUGAAAGCUAGCAGCCUAUCAGCUUCUGGCGGGAGAAGAUGGCCUUGGGGUUCUUCAAAAGUCACACUUCCAGAGAAUUGUCAUGAUUUGAUCUGUUUGGCAGCUCCCCUGUCCCCACACAAGAUGGACAUGGACACAGAAGAACUAGACUUGGCCAGGAAGUAUAAUCAGCACCCAAGAUCCAAAGAGCUUAAGUGUUACAAAAUGAUACUCACCAGAGGGACCCAGACAAGAGUUCCUGUUUUAGUUGGCUUCUCUUCAUUGGAAGAAACAGAUUCACUCAAGUGACUUCAAGAAGAAUAGAGUUUAUUAUGAGGAUGCAGGUAAAAGAGCAUUUGUGGGGCCGGGCUCGGUGUCUCACACCUGUAAUCCCAGCACUUUGGGAGGCCAAGGCAGGUGGAUCACAAGGUCAGGAGUUCAAGACC
rnacentral:lncRNA from 1 species